GUACGAAUGAUGUACAAUUACUAAAAUAUGGAAUUAUUUGUAAUAAUUAAGACUAUUUAAUUAAGGGAUUAAUAUGGAUAUCACAAUAAAAGCAUUAUUGCAUAAGAAUGCCAUGACAAAUGAUAUUAGAGAUAUAAAAAUAUAUAUGUAUAUAUUUUAUCGAAUGGAAUCUAUAUUAACAAGGAUAAUUGAAUUGGAAUCAAUAGGAAUUAACAGGACCGUGUGUCACUCUUUAACUACUAAAUAAACCAGCAGUUGCAGUUCAAUUACAUGUUAAUGGGAUGACUUACUUCUUAUCUGUAGGCAGAUGCAGAUGAAUUAAAAGCUGGUGUUAAGGAGUGUCUCGCAUAAGAUUCCUCGCUGACGUUAAAUUGUCUUUUAAACGAAACAAGUGUUCCAAGUUAUGACAGAGAAUCCUCAUUUUUUUAUGCUCCAAAUGAGUAGUUCUUGACUUCAUUUGCUUAGAUGAAAGUGAUUCCAUACUUUAAUGUUUCAUUAAAAGGACGAAUCCUACCAUGGACAAUAAGCAGUAAGAAGUGUGGAACUCGAUGUGUAAAAUAAAUUUACAAUUUUCAACGUGACAUAUUACGCAAACACAUAUGAAUGUUUAUAGAAUGUCUGUUUUUCUGGGUUACUGAAUGAACUCCAGCAAUUAUAGCUAUAGUUAUUUGGAAACUGAAGAGAAUACGGAUAUAUUAUUGUUAACACCAAUAUGUGUUAUAUUUCAAGGCAAAGAUAUUGGAAAAAAAUGUUGAUGGAAUGUACGCAUAUAUGCCUAUAUGCUAUAAUUAAGGAUUAUAGUUAAUUGACUCCAUGUGUUGGUGAUCACCUUUUGGUUGUUGUGUCUUUACCUAUGAUCGAAAUAAAUAAGAAUGAUGAAAAUACUUAAUUAUAGAU